rnacentral:rRNA from 1 species
CCUACGGGAGGCAGCCGUGGGGAAUAUUGCACAAUGGGGGAAACCCUGAUGCAGCGACGCCGCGUGAGUGAGGAAGUAUCUCGGUACGUAAAGCUCUAUCAGCAGGGAAGAAAAUGACGGUACCUGACUAAGACGCCCCGGCUAACUACGUGCCAGCAGCCGCGGUAAUACGUAGGGGGCAAGCGUUAUCCGGAUUUACUGGGUGUAAAGGGAGCGUAGACGGCAGCACAAGUCUGGAGUGAAAUCCCGGGGCUUAACCCCGGAACUGCUUUGGAAACUGUGCGACUGGAGUGCAGGAGGGGUAAGCGGAAUUCCGAGUGUAGCGGUGAAAUGCGUAGAUAGUAGGAGGAACUCCGAUUGCGAAGGCAGCUCACUGGACUGCAACUGACACUGAUGCUCGAAAGUGUGGGUAUCAAACAGGAUUAGAUACCCGUGUAGUC